AGAGUUUUGAUGUCGUUGAUGCGAGGUUGUGCCAGCUCUAGAUGUUCAUGAGAGUUUUGAUGUUGUUGAUGCGAGGUUGACAGCUCUAGAUGUUCAUGAGAGUUUUGAUGUCGUUGAUGCGAGGUUGUGACAGCUCUAGAUGUUCAUGAGAGUUUUGAUGUCGUUGAUGCGAGGUUGUGACAGCUCUAGAUGUCCAUGAGAGUUUUGAUGUUGUUGAUGCGAGGUUGUGACAGCUCUAGAUGUCCAUGAGAGUUUUGAUGUCGUUGAUGCGAGGUUGUGACAGCUCUAGAUGUCCAUGAGAGUUUUGAUGUCGUUGAUGCAGGGUUGUGACAGCUCUAGAUGUUCAUGAGAGUUUUGAUGUCGUUGAUGCGAGGUUGUGACAGCUCUAGAUGUUCAUAAGAGUUUUGAUGUUGUUGAUGCGAGGUUGUGACAGCUCUAGAUGUCCAUGAGAGUUUUGAUGUUGUUGAUGCGAGGUUGUGACAGCUCUAGAUGUUGAUGCGAGGUUGUGACAGCUCUAGAUGUCCAUGAGAGUUUUGAUGUCGUUGAUGCGAGGUUGUGACAGCUCUAGAUGUUCAUGAGAGUUUUGAUGUCGUUGAUGAGAGGUUGUGACAGCUCUAGAUGUUCAUGAGAGUCUUGAUGUCGUUGAUGCGAGGUUGUCCACUCUAGAUGUCCAUGAGAGUUUUGAUGUCGUUGAUGCGAGGUUGUGACAGCUCUAGAUGUUCAUGAGAGUUUUGAUGUCGUUGAUGCGAGGUUGUGCCAGCUCUAGAUGUUCAUGAGAGUUUUGAUGUCGUUGAUGCGAGGUUGUGACAGCUCUAGAUGUCCAUGAGAGUUUUGAUGUUGUUGAUGCGAGGUUGUGACAGCUCUAGAUGUCCAUGAGAGUCUUGAUGUCGUUGAUGCGAGGUUGUGACAGCUCUAGAUGUUGAUGCGAGGUUGUGACUGCUCUAGAUGUUCAUGAGAGUUUUGAUGUCGUUGAUGCGAGGUUGUGACAGCUCUAGAUGUUCAUGAGAGUUUUGAAGUCG